rnacentral:lncRNA from 1 species
AGGGUCACUAUGGGGCCGAUAUGGGGUCACUAUGGGGCCGAUAUGGGGACACUAUGAGGCCGAUAUGGGGUCGAUAUGGGGCCAAUAUGGGGUCACUAUGGGGGCACUUUGGGGUCGCUACGGGAAUGCUAUGGGGUCACUAUGGGGCCGGUAUGGGAUCACUAUACGGAUGCUCUAUAGGGUCUUUAUAGGUUUCUGCAGGGUUGUUUGGGGUCUCUAUGGGAUCUCUAUGGGUUCUCUAUGGGGACUUUAUGGGGUCUGAAGGUUUUGAGGGCUCUGUGGGGGCUCUAUGGGGCUCUAUCAGGCUCUAUAGGGUCUCUAUAGGUUUCUGUGGAGUUCUUUGGGGUCUCUAUGAGGUCUCUGUAAUCAGAAGAUUUUGGGGUCUCUAUAGGUCCCCUAUGGGGUCUGAAGGUUUUGAGAGCUCUAUGGGGUCUCUAUGGGAUCCCUAUGGGGUCUGAGGAUUUUGGGGUCCCCAUGGGGUCUCUGCAGGGUGUCUAUGGGGCUCUAUGGGUUGCUAUGGGGUCUCUAUGGGGUCUGAAGGUUUUGAGGGCUCUAUGGGGGCUCUAUGGGGCUCUAUCGGGCUCUAUAGGGUCUCUGUAGGUUUCUGUGGGGUUCUUUGGGGUCUCUAUGGGGUCUCUAUGGGAUCUUAUGGGGUCUGAAGUUUUUGAAAGCUCUAUGGGGUCUCUAUGGGAUCCUUAUGGGAUCUGAAGGUUUUGAGAGCUCUAUGGGGUCUCUAUGGGAUUCCUAUGGGGUUUGAGGAUUCUGGGGUCCCCAUGGGGUCCCUAUGGGGCUGAUAUGGGGUCACUAUGGGGCUGAUAUGGGAUCACUAUACAGAUGCUAUGGGGUCGCUAUGGGGACACUAUGGGGUUUACAUGGGGAUGUUAUGGGGUCGCUACGGGGCCGAUAUGGGGUCACUAUGGGGCUGAUAUGGGAUCACUAUACAGAUGCUAUGGGGUCACUAUUGGGCCAAUAUGGGGUCACUACGGGGCUGAUAUGGGGUCACUACGCGGAUGCUACGGGGACGCUACGGGGUUGCCAUGGAGGCACUGUGGGGUCGAUAUGGGGUCUGUAUGGAGGCACUUUGGGGUCACUGUGGGGCCGUUAGGGGCUGAGUGUGGGGUCGCUCCGCCAGGUGGCUCUGCGCUCGCUGCCGGAGGAGGCGGUGAAGGAGACCUUGGAGUACAAAGUGCUGCAGUCACAGUUCUCGCUGCUGUACCACGAGAGCCUGCAGGUGAAGACGCAGCUGGACGAGGCGCGCGCCCUCCUCCUGGCCACCAAGAACAGCCACCUGCGUCACAUCGAGCACAUGGAGAGCGAUGAGC